rnacentral:rRNA from 1 species
AACGAACGCUGGCGGCAUGCCUAACACAUGCAAGUCGAACGAGAUCUUCGGGUCUAGUGGCGCACGGGUGCGUAACGCGUGGGAAUCUGCCCUUUGGUUCGGAAUAACAGUUGGAAACGACUGCUAAUACCGGAUGAUGACGAAAGUCCAAAGAUUUAUAGCCAGAGGAUGAGCCCGCGUAGGGUUAGCUAGUUGGUGUGGUAAAGGCGCACCAAGGCGACGAGCCUUAGCUGGUCUGAGAGGAUGAUCAGCCACACUGGGACUGCGACACGGCCCAGACUCCUACGGGAGGCAGCAGUGGGGAAUUUUGGACAAUGGGCGAAAGCCUGAUCCAGCAAUGCCGCGUGAGUGAUGAAGGCCUUAGGGUUGUAAAGCUCUUUUACCCGGGAUGAUAAUGACAGUACCGGGAGAAUAAGCUCCGGCUAACUCCGUGCCAGCCGCCGCCGUAA